CACAAUCCUCACGUGAACAAAAAUCUCUCAAAAAGUUUCAACCCGCACGCUUUCUCCCUCUUGUAAACUUUUUUUGCUGGUUUUUCAACUACUUUUCACCUUGAAUGAAAGCGACACCUCCAAAAUCCGAUCGACCGUACAACAACUUCAAACUUUGAUCAGAAAACUGAUUUUCCGAUCAUGAAGAAUAACAAGGAGAAGACAUUUUACUUAAUGUGACGACUUCAACAGGUAUAUACCUUUUGCUUCAACUGUUGUACGUGCCUGAAAAUGAACCAAAACCGAGAAACCCAGUUAUUCUGCUAGCUUGUUCUUAUAUAUCACAAAUAAGAACUUUCAUUAUACGCAUAUAACCAUGUGCACAUAUAUAUAUAUAAAUAUAAUUUUCUAAAUAUGGAAGUAUUAUACCAGCAACCUUCAGCAGAAGUAAUCAAAGACGAAUAGAGUCCUAUUUUUUUCUUGAAGUUGGAGAAAAUAACUGAUAAAUCUGCAAAAGAUUGAAAGAGAAGAAGCUAGCUGACAAACCGCUUUAGCAAAUGGAUUUUAG
rnacentral:lncRNA from 1 species